rnacentral:rRNA from 1 species
GGCUCAUUAAAACAGUUAUAGUUUCUUUGAUAGUCAAUUCUACUACAUGGAUAACCGUGGUAAUUCUAUGGCUAAUACAUGCGUACAAUACCAUUUCUUCUUUGGAGGAAGGGUAGUGUUUAUUAGAUACAGAACCGACAAUAAUAUUGACCUUUUACUAUUUUAUACUACUUUACUGUAGUAUAUAAUAGUGAAGUGUGUCAAGAAAAGGUGAUUCAUAGUAACCGAACGGAUCGCAUGAAUAUCAUUAUUUUUAAUGAUUGGCGAUAGAUCAUUCAAGUUUCUGACCUAUCAGCUUUCGACGGUAGUGUAUUGGACUACCGUGGCAGUGACGGGUAACGGGGAAUUAGGGUUCGAUUCCGGAGAGGGAGCCUGAGAAACGGCUACCACAUCUAAGGAAGGCAGCAGGCGCGCAAAUUACCCAAUCCUGAUUCAGGGAGGUAGUGACAAGAAAUAACAACACUGGAAAUUUCAUUUCUAGUGAUUGGAAUGAUGGGAAUCCAAACCCCUUUCAGAGUAACAAUUGGAGGGCAAGUCUGGUGCCAGCAGCCGCGGUAAUUCCAGCUCCAAUAGCGUAUAUUAAAGUUGUUGCAGUUAAAAAGCUCGUAGUUGGAUAUCUGUUAGAAGCAGCCAGUCCGCUCUU